rnacentral:rRNA from 1 species
UUAAGUUGCAGGGUAUAGACCCGAAACCCGGUGAUCUAGCCAUGGGCAGGUUGAAGGUUGGGUAACACUAACUGGAGGACCGAACCGACUAAUGUUGAAAAAUUAGCGGAUGACCUGUGGCUGGGGGCGCGCACGCAGGUUACAUCAUGUAUGUGACUGACCCGGCGCAAAGCGCGACUGACGUCGAAUCGCUGCGCGAUGCAAUGCGUAACUCUAAAGGGCUCGGCAACUUUAAAAACCUGUUUUUCUACU